rnacentral:rRNA from 1 species
AUGUGUAUUUUCAAUCAAGCUCUUCUCGCAAAACAAGCAUGGCGACUUGUCCAAAGACCUGACAAUCUAUAUGCUAGGGUUCUAAAAGCAAAAUACUACCCAAAAGGAAAUUUGUUGGGCACGGUCUUCACCUCUGAUGGAUCUCCCGUGUGGCGUGGAAUUGAGUAUGGGCUUGAACUCUUGAAAAAGGGAGUGGUUUGGAGAGUGGGAAAUGGAAAGAGUAUCCAAAUCCUUCGUGACAACUGGAUACCUCGGCAAUCUGGCCUUUCCAUACAAUCCAUGAAAACUAGAAGCCGGCUGAGGUGGGUAAACCAGUUGUUGCUUCCCCAUUCUAAUGACUGGAACAAGCAGAUCAUUGACAAGUUGUUCUACAAUUUUGACUCGGCAGAAAUAUACAGGAUCAAGCUCCCCUCAAGGCCUAUGGGGGCAUUCUAG